UUACAGCCAUAUCACAUUGAAACACCAGUUCUCAUAUGAUCACUGAAGUUAAGCAACGUCGAGCCUGGUCAGUACCUGGAUGGAUGACUGCUUGAAAACACCAGGUGAUGUAAG